UAGGGAAUCUUCGGCAAUGGACGAAAGUCUGACCGAGCAACGCCGCGUGAGUGAAGAAGGUUUUCGGAUCGUAAAACUCUGUUGUUAGAGAAGAACAAGGACGUUAGUAACUGAACGUCCCCUGACGGUAUCUAACCAGAAAGCCACGGCUAACUACGUGCCAGCAGCCGCGGUAAUACGUAGGUGGCAAGCGUUGUCCGGAUUUAUUGGGCGUAAAGCGAGCGCAGGCGGUUUCUUAAGUCUGAUGUGAAAGCCCCCGGCUCAACCGGGGAGGGUCAUUGGAAACUGGGAGACUUGAGUACAGAAGAGGAGAGUGGAAUUCCAUGUGUAGCGGUGAAAUGCGUAGAUAUAUGGAGGAACACCAGUGGCGAAGGCGGCUCUCUGGUCUGUAACUGACGCUGAGGCUCGAAAGCGUGGGGAGCAAACAGG
rnacentral:rRNA from 1 species